AGAGCCCCAAUCUAGUAUCGAAGCUGCCCUCCAUCACCCAGAUUUCAUUUCUCUUCUUCCUCACCUACUCAAAAACCCCGAUUUCAUUUCUCUCUCUAGACAUGACGGUGACUCUGUGUCUUAAGGCCACUCCCUCUUCCAUUCUCUCGCUCUCUUUCACCUCCCAAACAUCACCACCACCUCUCUUUCCCCAAAACCCGCAUCCCCACAUUCGCCACCAUCACCAUGUCGUCAUUCCCCGUCGUCGAGCACAACGUCCUCUUCAAGGUCAAAGACAACACCAAUCCCUCCAAGGUCAACAGCUGCUCAGAUCCGCCGCGUCCCUCCAUCGUUUUGUCGCAUCUGGGUUCCGGGUCGGAUAAAGAGAAUCUCAGCCUCUUUAUCUGGGACCUCUUUACUCGGCUACAAAUCGGCUGCAUCGAGUUCAAGAAGAAGGCUUUGGAGUCUCAGCUUCAGCUUCUCGAAGACGACGACAAGGCCGCCUGCUCGACAAGGCCGUCGAUGGGAUUCAAUCGGCAACUUUAAAAUGAAUCCCUCGUUGUCUUCUUCUCCAUCUUCUACUUUCGCCGGCUCUUGGUUUUCCAGUGUGAAACGAUGUCAGCAGUUGUAGAUGUCAGAAGGUUCGAUCUGGCGGGUCAGCACAGGCGCAGGAAAAUCCAGGUCCGAUCUGGUACGGUGGGAAUUUGGGUCGAACAUCGAUGUUCAGAGCGCCGGUGGUCGGCAUAGAGGAACGACGACAGGAGAAGACAUCGUGGUGGUCUUUGAGCAUCGGGUCUGCAGCUCGGCGACUGGUCUGGUACGGUUCUGAGUACGGAUCAACCAUUGGUUUGGAGACAUUGGGGCUUGUUUCGAUGAUGAUGUCAAGGAGGGGGGCAAAGUUUGCUUGCAGUGUGGCACUACCUAUGAUGAUAUUGUAUAAGAAUGUGGAGCAUCCAAAGCUUGCUGCAUUCAUCAAGGAGCAUACUUGGGUAAUGGAGUCCGAAGAAUAUCUUACUUUUCCUUAAAACCAGUUUGAGAUUAAGGGAGGGGUUCUUCACUAUCUUGAGUCCAUUGAAGAGGGAGUAAGCAUCUUCUAGAGAUGAAUAGGAUUUUAAGGCCCGGGGGAUACUUUAUCUUGUCAACUAAACAUGACAGCUUUGAAGCUGAAGAAGGUUUGUCCCAUGUUUUACAAUUACUAUUUUGAGAUGCUUGAAAGCUGGAACAGUAGACCUUAUCUUAUACUAUAUCAUGAGGAGCAAUUUUCUUAGUGCAUGUAGUUCUGUUUGCUUUAAGGUAUUUGAUGAUUUCCCCGGAAUGCUGCUGUCAUAAGAGUUGAAUCUGCUUGCUCAUGCUGCUGAUUGUUGGUUUUUAAUUGAAGGGCCUUGUUCAAAAUCCUUUAUAUUGAUGUGGGGAAAGGCGACUGACUUUGCUUUAGUACUACAGUCAGUGUAUAUGGGUCGGAUAUAGUCAUUUUUCAAAUCUGCAUGUUUUUCUUAGUGCUUACUUUGGACCUAUCAUUGCUUGGAAAGGAUAGUGCGGAUGAAUUCUCAAUUGUGCCUUUUUUUUUUCCUUGAUGAUAAUAUGUUAUCAAAUAAGAGUAUAAUUGUGCUUGAUUCUUGAUUUUUCGAUGGUGGUAGAAUGCAGCUACGAUAAUUUGACUCUUAGAAUGGAAAAGAAGUAAGGUAAAUGUGCCACAGUGGCUCCAUGUAGCGUAUCGUUUCUAAAGCAACACUACUUUAGGCCAAUGGUUCUAAAGCAUUGAAGCUUGAAAUUAGAAUGGCAUCGGAAUUGUCAAGCUUAUGGGAUAUUAAUUUGUGAUUUUGCUUACAACUAUCUUGGGAGAUCGAGCAAAUUGUAUUCUUUUUUAUUAUUAUGUAAAGCUCAUGAAACUUGAAAGCUUGUUAAGCUAAUGAAAUAGAUAUAGGCACUUGGGCAAGGUUAAUUCCUGUGUAAAUGUUGGGAUGGAUACUGCUAAUGGAAUGAAAUGGUUUUUGGAAUCAA